AUUGAUAGUACCUUGCUACAUGGAUACCUGUGGUAAUUCUAGAGCUAAUACAUGCUAAAAACCUCGACUUCGGGAGGGGUGUAUUUAUUAGAUAAAAAACCAAUGCCCUCCGGGGCUCCUUGGUGAAUCAUAAUAACUCAACGAAUCGCAUGGCCUUGCGCCGGCGAUGGUUCAUUCAAAUUUCUGCCCUAUCAACUUUCGAUGGUAGGAUAGUGGCCUACCAUGGUGGCAACGGGUAACGGGGUAUUAGGGUACUAUACCGGAGAGGGAGCCUGAGAAACGGCUACCACAUCCAAGGAAGGCAGCAGGCGCGCAAAUUACCCAAUCCCGAUCCGGGGAGGUAGUGACAAUAAAUACUGAUACAGGGCUCUUUUGGGUCUUGUAAUUGGAAUGAGUACAAUUUAAAUCCCUUAACGAGGAACAAUUGGAGGGCAAGUCUGGUGCCAGCAGCCGCGGUAAUUCCAGCUCCAAUAGCGUAUAUUAAAGUUGUUGCAGUUAAAAAGCUCGUAGUUGAACCUUGGGCCUGGCUGGCCGGUCCGCCUCACCGCGUGUACUGGUCCGGCCGGGCCUUUCCUUCUGGGGAGCCGCAUGCCCUUCACUGGGCGUGUCGGGGAACCAGGACUUUUACUGUGAAAAAAUUAGAGUGUUCAAAGCAGGCCUUUGCUCGAAUACAUUAGCAUGGAAUAAUAGAAUAGGACGUGCGGUUCUAUUUUGUUGGUUUCUAGGGCCGCCGUAAUGAUUAAUAGGGAUAGUCGGGGGCAUUAGUAUUCAAUUGUCAGAGGUGAAAUUCUUGGAUUUAUUGAAGACUAACUACUGCGAAAGCAUCUGCCAAGGAUGUUUUCAUUAAUCAGGAACGAAAGUUAGGGGAUCGAAGACGAUCAGAUACCGUCGUAGUCUUAACCAUAAACUAUGCCGACUAGGGAUCGGUGGGUGUUACUAUUAUGACCUCAUCG
rnacentral:rRNA from 1 species